rnacentral:rRNA from 1 species
AGCCGAGCGGUAGAGGUCCUUCGGGACCUUGAGAGCGGCGUACGGGUGCGGAACACGUGUGCAACCUGCCUUUAUCUGGAAGAUAGCCCUCCGAAAGGGGGAUUAAUAUUCCAUAAUAUAUUGAUUGGCAUCAAUUGAUAUUGAAAGCUCCGGCGGAUAGAGAUGGGCACGCGCAAGAUUAGAUAGUUGGUGAGGUAACGGCUCACCAAGUCUGCGAUCUUUAGGGGGCCUGAGAGGGUGAUCCCCCACACUGGUACUGAGACACGGACCAGACUCCUACGGGAGGCAGCAGUGAGGAAUAUUGGACAAUGGGUGAGAGCCUGAUCCAGCCAUCCCGCGUGAAGGAUUAAGGUCCUAUGGAUUGUAAACUUCUUUUAUACAGGGAUAAACCUAUCUACGUGUAGAUAGCUGAAGGUACUGUAUGAAUAAGCACCGGCUAACUCCGUGCCAGCAGCCGCGGUAAUACGGAGGGUGCAAGCGUUAUCCGGAUUUAUUGGGUUUAAAGGGUCCGUAGGCGGGCCCGUAAGUCAGUGGUGAAAUCUCACAGCUUAACUGUGAAACUGCCGUUGAUACUGCGGGUCUUGAGUAAAUUUGAAGUGGCUGGAAUAAGUAGUGUAGCGGUGAAAUGCAUAGAUAUUACUUAGAACACCAAUUGCGAAGGCAGGUCACUAAGAUUUAACUGACGCUGAUGGACGAAAGCGUGGGGAGCGAACAGGAUUAGAUACCCCUGGUAGUCCACGCCGUAAACGAUGCUAACUCGUUUUUUGGAUUUUCGGAUUCAGAGACCCACGCGAAAGUGAUAAGUUAGCCACCUGAGGAGUACGUUUCGCAGAAUGAAACUCAAAGGGAAUUGACGGGGGCCCGCACAAGCGGUGG